AUUGAAGCAGACUCAUCUCAUUCUUGAUCCAUCCUGAUGCCCUCAGUGCUUGCUCUUGAAUAAGCAAUGUGAAACUGGUCUAAAUAGGUUUAAAAUGGUCAGAUGUUGCUCUUGAUCAGUUCAGCUCUUUUCUUAACAGGAGAAAUCAGUUUUGACCAAUUCAAAUCUAUUUUGUCCAGUUUAAACUAAUUCUGCAGAGCUGGUGCUUGAGGUGGCUAAGCCCAGGAAGAUGGCCGAAGAUCACGCAGACUGGAGCCAAAGCAAGGAACCAGAUGGAUGAGGUUCUGUGGCAGCAUACCUGUAGAGAGGAUUUCCGGGAAUGGCAUAAGAGCUUGGUUACCUGGGAAGAAACCAAACCUUUUAGUGAGAGAAGUUGGUUUAGGAGCCUCAAUGUUACCCCCAAAGGAAGUUACUGAACUCUUUUGAGGAGCAAAGGAGAAAUUGUCAUUGAAGCAUUUUAUAAACCACAAGGCACAAAAUAGAUGUAAGUAACUGCUAUCUUUGAAAUAUGUUGAUUAGCAUGAGAGUGUCGCUAAGAAAAGCCACAGCAUAAAAUGUCUUCCGGUAUUGCAGACUCACAGAUGUCUCUGAUUCCAGAUUCAGUUCUUGCAUUACGUCACCCUGGACCUGUGGCUACCAGAAGUCGUGAAUGUGGUAUGCAGCAUCAUAAACUACAGUGACCUGAGGCGAGGGGUGAUGUGGGAGAAGGGGUCAUGUCAAAUAUACACAUGAGAACAAGGUGGGGUGUCACAGCUAGUACUGUAGGCAUAUGCAUGUUAGGAUGAAUGAUCC